rnacentral:rRNA from 1 species
UACGUAGGGUGCAAGCGUUAAUCGGAAUUACUGGGCGUAAAGCGUGCGCAGGCGGUUAUGUAAGACAGAUGUGAAAUGCCCGGGCUUAACCUGGGAACUGCAUUUGUGACUGCAUGGCUAGAGUUUGGCAGAGGGAUGCGGAAUUCCAGGUGUAGCGGUGAAAUGCGUAGAUAUCUGGAGGAACACCGGUGGCGAAGGCGGCAUCCUGGACCAUGACUGACGCUGAGGAGCGAAAGCCAGGGGAGCAAACGGG